UACGAGAGGCCCAAACGUUAUUCGGAAUUACUGGGCUUAAAGAGUUCGUAGGCGGCGCAGAAAGUAGGGUGUGAAAGCCCUCGGCUCAACCGAGGAAUUGCGCUCUAAACUGCUGUGCUUGAGGGACCUAGAGGUGAGCAGAACUGAUGGUGGAGCGGUGAAAUGCGUUGAUAUCAUCAGGAAUACCGGAGGCGAAGGCGGCUCCACUGGCCCGGUAC
rnacentral:rRNA from 1 species